GGGGGGGGGGGGGGGGGGGGGGGGGGGAGGGGGGGGGGGGGGGGGGGGGGGGGGGGGGGGGGGUGGGCGGGGGGCGAACGGGUGAGUAACACGUGAGUAACCUGCCCUUGACUUUGGGAUAACUUCAGGAAACUGGGGCUAAUACCGGAUAGGAGCUCCUGCUGCAUGGUGGGGGUGGGAAAGGUUCGGCGGUUGGGGAUGGACUCGCGGCUUAUCAGCUUGUUGGUGGGGUAGUGGCUUACCAAGGCUUUGACGGGUAGCCGGCCUGAGAGGGUGACCGGCCACAUUGGGACUGAGAUACGGCCCAGACUCCUACGGGAGGCAGCAGUGGGGAAUAUUGCACAAUGGGCGGAAGCCUGAUGCAGCAACGCCGCGUGCGGGAUGACGGCCUUCGGGUUGUAAACCGCUUUCGCCUGUGACGAAGCGUGAGUGACGGUAAUGGGUAAAGAAGCACCGGCUAACUACGUG
rnacentral:rRNA from 1 species